UCUACAUUUUUAUCCUCAUGUUCAACAACUAAGAAAUGGAAAUCACUAAGCAGCCACAGAGUAAAUGUGUGGGAUCAGCUGCAAUAUUGAUUUCACCUGAGCAAGAUGAAAAGAGAUUUAAAAAAAAAUAAAUAAAUAAAAAUCGAUCAAUACAAUUUUUAAGUAAAUCUCUGAUUACAUUUUUAAAAUGAACACAGGGAGAGGAGGAGCACUGCCAUGAGAGAAAUGAUAAUCAUACCAUUUAUUUCUAUAUAGGCAUGUCUUACUAGUGGUGUGUCUUCAGGAUAUAAUGAAGAAGAAGAAAAAUGAGCUUCUUUAUCCCCGUGGGGAAAUUUAAUAUCAUAUCACUGCGAAUACAAAGUGUUUAUGAAAGGGCAAUACUGAAAAAUAUUGCAGUGGCAUUUGGUGAUGAAUCAUCUUGUAUAAGAUAGAGCUCCGAGACUGAAAGAGAUGCAGGGAAUUAGACUGUAGCUGCUUCAGUGAGAAUUGUGUAACUUCAAGCUCAGUUGGGACAGAUGGGUUUCCAUACCCACAUAUAUCAAAUGGUAACAGUGAUAUUCAGCAUUACUUCUCAAGAAUAAUGAAGACAAUGUGAACCCUAAACCAGCAUCUUCUUUUCAAUACGGAACACCAUUUAUGAAUUGUUGAGAAAAGUGCCAAUUUAUUAUUUUUUUUCAUAGCUCUACUGACAAAGAAGACUGAAGAUAGACAGGAAAUAAGAGAGAGGGGACGACAUGCAGCAACACACGUUGGAUUCAAACCCUGGGUGGGACAUGCUGUACCAACUGCACUAACAAACCAACAAAUCAUUAAUAACAAUAAUGAUAAAAAAAUAACUGAAUAGACUGUAGAGAGACGUAGAGCAUGAGCCUAAUUCUAAGGAGUCUUGCAAAAGACCAAAUCUAGCAGUGGCAGACGAUUAAUUGCAGGAAAAGUAUGAUAAAAUCUUGUGCUAGUGCUAGUUUGGUUGUAGAAACAUGCUGAUGUGUGUGAUACUGUGUGGUUAUUCCAGGUUUAGCAUAUCUUUGUUAACCCUUGAGGCAGCUGGUAGGAUAUUUCCAAGAUAAGUAUCACAGUCUACCAGAAUAGCUUUUGGAAAAUAACAUAUGUAAAAUGGUUGCUGGAGCACCUCCACCUGCAAAGACACGUGCAUUAGUCGCAGGUUAAUGACAGCUGACCAGAAUAAGGACAUAGCAGAAGUUCUAGCUCCAGUGGCUCUAUUUGUAGUAGAUGUGACAUGAUUAUUGGAGGUGGCACAGCAUUAGACAUAGCAGAGCAGUAGCUGUGAAGUGGGAAUGGACAAACAGUAAUCAUGACGGCAGCAGUAGUGGCAGGAGCAGCAAGUAGUAGUUCAUUAAAGCUAAUUUUAAACCGUCAACUCACAUUCAAACCAUGAAACUCUAACCUACUAAUCUGCAUCCUCUAGGCACCAGAAACAAAAAGCAUUACUAGAAAAAACAGGAUUACCGACUCCAAGGCUUACAGCGCUGAUGAGGAGACAGACAUUUGGGCUGAGCACAGCUAUAGACAAUAGGUGAAAUAUGUUGUAUUACAAUGAUAUCUGCACUGAGGCCGAGCAUGUUACAGCUUCUGACACUGCCUUGCUCUGAUAAGCCGCUGCAGACCUGAUCCCCAUUGAGUUCGUAAUAGGUUGGCCUGCUCACAUCGAAUUAGAGAGCGAGCGUGUGCCAGACACGUUGCGUAAUGGCACCCACGAAAAGGAAGGAUAAAGAGAGGGGGAGAGAGAAGGAGAGAGGGUGGGUCUAAUGAAGAAGAACGCAUGGUUAACAUAAGCAGCGAACACAGCUGCACCAAUGAGCACGCAUGUUUGAAUGGACUCAUUUUGAAAUGCACACACACACACACACACACACACACACACACACACACACACACACACACACACACACACAGAAGGCCCUGAGGCUCCGGGUUCCUCAUGACUUCUAUCUCCAUUAUUUUGCUAUAAUGUAUCAUAGAUCGGAAUAAGUACAACGGAAGGCACAUUUAGAGAGCAGCCCACCCAAACUCAAGAACCACAUCACAGAAAGAUGCUGCAGGCUCCCACUCAGUCAGAAAAAUCUUACCAAUAGCUGUAAAAGCUGGGAACAUUUUCUACUUCCUUUCCUUCCUCCUCUUAGUUCAGAACAUAAACAAAACAGACGCAGUAAGAAACACACAGUAUGUUUUUUUGGCAACCUCUCACCUUGGUCAGCGUGUAAGAGUUUUAAACCAGAGAGCUGCCUUCAGCUUAGUUAAGUUAUUAGACGAACGUUGAAUAUUUCAUGCAGGCAUUUGUAAACACUUUUGUAACAUUAUAAAUAAAUCACAAGCAAAAAACAGAGUUGCAGCCAUUGUCACUUUAACACCAGGAGGACGACUUGUGAAUGGAUAGAAAAAAAUGAGUGAUGAAGAGAAACAUGCACACUUAUCAUGGCGGCUCUACCAGGGUAUUCAACCCGCAUCCUGUGCAGGCCGGGUCAUUCAUGUGGGGCAACACAAGUGGAAGCUGUAUCAAAGAAAUAUUUCCAACAUUUUGAAGGCGUCGUCAUAAUUGUAUCAGACCUCUGUUCAGCUGAAAGGAUGAGGGGGCGAAAUACCUCGGGUUCAACUCCGCGAUUCUGGGUCACGUCAUUUCAUUUUUACAUCAGUUUUCACUUCAGCUUACAAGCAAAGUUGAGGCUGGUUUUUUUUUUUUGUCUGGAAACUGAGUAAGCAAAAAACCAGAAGCAGCCACAGCCUGGUGUACUGGGCAAUAGACCUGAUACAGGACCGCAAGUGGUCAUGUGGAAGAACUAUGGCUUUAAUUAGCUCCAGCCUCAGCUGCCGCGCCGAGCCGCCGACAUCACCGCCGCUUCGCUCAACUCAUCCGAGGAUGCUGCCGCCGUGCGCUGCGGCGCGCGCCUCAGGUGUUGACCGCACGAGACAGUGGCUGGAGUCACCCGAGCAGCAGCAGCACGCGCUCAGGCUGCGCGUGUGCAGGACCACGGACGUCAGUGCCUGUGAGCUGUGAGAGCAGCGGCCGGAGGAGCUCAGGGCUCCACGAGGCUCUUCACGAAAUCCAACUUUUCUCUGACGGCAACAGUAAAUCCAUUACGCAGAGGCACGCUCCAAGACGGGAGCUCUUCUCCAGACGGCGACCCCGCUGCGUUUGACAGGAAGAUGAACGCUGCU